rnacentral:rRNA from 1 species
GACGAACGCUGGCGGCGUGCUUAACACAUGCAAGUCGAACGGAAAGGCCCUGCUUGCAGGGUGCUCGAGUGGCGAACGGGUGAGUAACACGUGGGUGAUCUGCCCCUUACUUUGGGAUAAGCCUGGGAAACUGGGUCUAAUACUGGAUAGGACCAUGCUGUAGGUGGUGUGGUGGAAAGAUUAGUUUCGGUAAGGGAUGAGCUCGCGGCCUAUCAGCUUGUUGGUGGGGUAAUGGCCUACCAAGGCGUCGACGGGUAGCCGGCCUGAGAGGGUGGACGGCCACAUUGGGACUGAGAGACGGCCCAGACUCCUACGGGAGGCAGCAGUGGGGAAUAGUGGACAAUGGGCGCAAGCCUGAUGCAGCGACGCCGCGUGGGGGAUGACGGCCUUCGGGUUGUAAACUCCUUUCAGCCAUGACGAAGCCCUUGUGGUGACGGUAGUGGUAGAAGAAGCACCGGCUAACUACGUG